CUGCCCAAUGAGGAAUUAAAUGGCCGCGGUACUUUGACCGUGCAAAGGUAGCAUAAUCAUUAGUUUUUUAAUUGAAAGCUGGUAUGAAAGGUUGGAUGAGAGAACGACUGUCUCUAUUUAAAUUUUUUAGAAUUUUAUUUUUAAGUAAAAAAGCUUAAAUAAAAAUAGAAGACGAGAAGACCCUAUAGAGUUUUAUAGAUUUAAAUUUAAGAAGUCUUUAGAAUUAAAAAAUUUUUAAAUUUAAAUGUAUUUAGUUGGGGUGAUUGAAAAAUUGAAGAAACUUUUUUUUUAUUAUAACAUUAAUUUAUGAUUAGUUGAUCCUUAAAUAAAGAUUAUAAGAAAAAAUUACCUUAGGGAUAACAGCGUAAUUUUUUUAAAGAGUUCAAAUCGAAAAAAAAGAUUGCGACCUCGAUGUUGGAUUAAAAUAAAAUUUUGGUGUAGGGGCUAAAGUAUUUGGGUCUGUUCGACCCUUAAAAUUUUACAUGAUCUGAGUUUAAACCGGUGU
rnacentral:rRNA from 1 species